UACGUAGGUGGCAAGCGUUGUCCGGAAUAUUGGGCGUAAAGCGCGCGCAGGUGGCUCAUUACGCCCGGCGUGAAAGCCCCCGGCCUAACCGGGGAAGGUCGUCGGGUACGGGUGAGCUUGAGGGUAUCAGGGGCUGGUGGAAUUCCGCGUGUAGUGGUGAAAUGCGUAGAGAUGCGGAGGAACACCAGUGGCGAAGGCGGCUUUCUGGUCCUUAACUGACGCUGAGGCGCGAAAGCAUGGGGGAGCGAACGGG
rnacentral:rRNA from 1 species